GAUUUAUAUUCUCAGUAGCAAUCUUGUAUCCAGAAAUUUUAAAGGCCUUCGUUGCUUUGGGGGCCUCUUUUGAUUUUGGGGCUCGGGGGCCUCUUUUGGUUUUGUGGCCCCCAACCCCUCUCGGCGGCCCUGAUUAUAAACUAUUGCUUUGAACUGAUUUAUACUGUACAGAUCGUGUAAAUAUUUUACAAGGAAUCAAAUUUCAAAAACCCAGUGGUUUCUAUAGUAGGCUCCUAUAAAGGUAUGUUAGAUUACUUUAAAUCAUAAUGAUUCUUAUUAAUGUUGUAAUUGCCGAAAUAAAUGA